rnacentral:lncRNA from 1 species
UUUUUUUACGAUUCGAAUAUAAAUUAAAAUAUCUUUUCCUUUCCGUUCUUUUCUCAUUACUUCUACAUUUCGUCGCGAGUUAUAUGUUCUAGUAAUUUCGUAGAUUAGUUUUCUUUUAAAAAGACAUGAGUUUCCUAUCUUUAUUCAUAUUUGAAAACGUCAUGUGAGGGAGGGUAAGAAGGGGUCCUGAUCCCAAAUGCCGGGCUUAAAAAAACAAAAUCCC